UUUUUUAAAUGUUUCGAAAUGGCCCUAAGCCCAUCUAUUGAGUCUCGACCCUCUCGUUUCGAUGACCCCAUCAACUUCUCUCUUCAAUGAUCUCAAUCUCUCAGGAGAUAGAGACUGUGAGGAGUUACUACAACAAGCUAAGCGCUCUUAAUUUGGAGGUGAAAGCAAAGAAACAAGGGGUAUUCAUCAGUUCCUUGGGAGAACCUAACUGGCCACACAUCACACAAAAAUGUACGAUGGUCUCACCCUGGUCCAUUGUGACUUGAGUUGCAUGGGGGUUGGCUUCAACUAAUAGUUUCAACACGUCAACCUUGCCCUUCAUGACUGCAAGAUGGAGUGGGUUUCUACCAUCUUUGUCAAGAGCUAGGCACAUGUUAGAAUCUACCGAUAUCAAUGCUUGUACAACCUUGAUGUGCCCUUUUGCUGAUGCUAAGUGCAGGGGCGAGCUUGUGAAGAGUCCAAAACUUCAACAAGAUCUGGAUUUAGAUGUAGAACUUAUGUCGCGAAUUCUUCAUGCCUACGCAAUGUAGCCAUAUGCAAAGGAGUCCCACCGAAGCAGCCAAAGAGAGCUAGUGAGAAUGGAACAGAGGCUUCACGGAGCAGCAAUAAAAGGCAAUGUUACAUUAUUACAUCAAAUACUCAAGAGAAGAUCCACUAGUUCUUGAUAGAAUGAACUUUGGUAGGUUUGGUUGGAGCCCUUUGCAUGUUGCUACAUUGCCUGGGCAUGCAGACUUUGUGAGGGAAGUUUUGCGUUGAAAUUUAGAUCUUGCUGACGUUUUGGACUCUUCACAACGCUUGCCUCUUCACCUAGCGUUAGUAAAGGGGCACGUUGAGGUUGUAAAAGCGUUGAUAUCAGUAGAUUCUGACACGUGUCUUGCUCGUGACAAAGAUGGUAAAAAUGCAUUACAUCUUGUAGUCAUGAAGGGUAAGGUCGAUGCGUUGAAAGUGUUAGUUCAAGCCAAUUCCCAAGCAGCUGAAGUCGUGAUGGAUUGAGGUACAGGUAGCAUGCCACCUCAAAGGACAUAGCUUGGGAGGCUAGAGACAGACAGACG